rnacentral:rRNA from 1 species
CCUACGGGAGGCAGCAGUGAGGAAUAUUGGUCAAUGGGCGAGAGCCUGAACCAGCCAAGUCGCGUGAGGGAGUACUGCCCUAUGGGUUGUAAACCUCUUUUGUCGGGGCGCAAAAGCCGGACGUGUCCGGCUGUGCGAGUACCCGAAGAAAAAGCAUCGGCUAACUCCGUGCGAGCAGCCGCGGUAAUACGGAGGAUGCGAGCGUUAUCCGGAUUUAUUGGGUUUAAAGGGUGCGUAGGCGGCCUUGUAAGUCAGCGGUGAACGUCUGUGGCUCAACCAUAGAAUUGCCGUUGAAUCUGGGGGGCUUGAGUAUGUUUGAGGCAGGCGGAAUGCGUGGGGUAGCGGGGAAAUGCUUAGAUAUCACGCAGAACCCCGAUUGCGAAGGAAGCCUGCCAAGCCAUGACUGACGCUGAUGCACGAAAGCGUGGGGAUCAAACAGGAUUAGAUACCCCUGUAGUC